UACGAAAAAAGCUAGCGUUGUUCGGAAUUACUGGGCGUAAAGCGCACGUAGGCUGAUAGUUAAGUGAGGGGUGAAAUCCCGAGGCUCAACCUCGGAACUGCCUUUCAUACUAGCUAUCUCGAGUCCGGAAGAGGUUAGUGGAAUUCUCAGUGUAGAGGUGAAAUUCGUAGAUAUUGAGAAGAACACCAGUGGCAAAAGCGGCUAACUGGUCCGGUACUGACGCUGAGGUGCGAAAGCGUGAAGAGCAAACAGG
rnacentral:rRNA from 1 species